GCACAAGCGGUGGAUGAUGUGGAUUAAUUCGAUGCAACGCGAAAACCUUACCUACCCUUGACAUGUCCGGAAUCCUGCAGAGAUGCGGGAGUGCCCGAAAGGGAAUCGGAACACAGGUGCUGCAUGGCUGUCGUCAGCUCGUGUCGUGAGAUGUUGGGUUAAGUCCCGCAACGAGCGCAACCCUUAUCAUUAGUUUGCUACGCAAGGGCACUCUAAAGAGACUGCCGGUGUCAAACCGGAGGAAGGUGGGGAUGACGUCAAGUCCUCAUGGCCUUUAUGACCAGGGCUACACACGUACUACAAUGGCCGGUACAAAGGGCAGCCACUUAGCGAUAAGGAGCCAAUCCCGUAAAGCCGGUCUCAGUCCGGAUUGGAGUCUGCAACUCGACUCCAUGAAGUUGGAAUCGCUAGUAAUCGCAGAUCAGCACGCUGCGGUGAAUACGUUCCCGGGCCUU
rnacentral:rRNA from 1 species